rnacentral:tRNA from 3 species
GGGCUCGUAGUCUAGCACGGAUUAAGGCAUCGGCCUCCGGAGCCGAGAAUCCUGGGUUCAAAUCCCAGCGGGCCCGCCA